UAAUUCUUGCCUGGGAUAAGCCUGGGAAACUGGGUCUAAUACUGGAUAUUCAGCAUGCAUGGUGGUUGUUGGAAAAGGGUAAAUGGUCAAGGAGGGACUCGCGGCCUAUCAGCUUGUUGGUGAGGUAAUGGCUCACCAAGGCGACGACGGGUAGCCUGAGGAGGGUGACCGGCCACACUGGGACUGAGACACGGCCCAGACUCCUACGGGAGGCAGCAGUGGGGAAUAUUGUCACAAUGGGCGAAAGCCUGAUGCAGCGACGCCGCGUGAGGGAUGACGGCCUUCUGUAAACCUCUUUCAGUCCGAGGGAAGGAGCGAGAGUGACGGUACCUGCAGAAGAAGCGCCGGCUAACUACGUGCCAGCAGCCGCGGUAGGGCGCAAGCGUUAUCCGGAAUUAUUGGGCGUAAAGAGCUCGUAGGCGGUUUGUCGCGUCUGCCGUGAAAGUUUCCGGGGCUUAACUCCGGAUCUGCGGUGGGUACGGGCAGGCUAGAGUGCUGUAGGGGAGACUGGAAUUCCUGGUGUAGCGGUGAAAUGCGCAGAUAUCAGGAGGAAGGCCCGAUGGCGAAGGCAGGUCUCUGGGCAGUAAAACUGACGCUGAGGAGCGAAAGCAUGGGGAGCGAACAGGAUUAGAUACCCUGGUAGUCCCCUUAACCGUAAACGUUGGGCACUAGAUGUGGGGAACCACGUUUUCCGCGUCGUAGCUAACGCAUUAAGUGCCCCGCCUGGGGGCAGUACGGCCGCAAGGCUAAAACUCAAAGGAAUUGACGGGGGCCCGCACAAGCGGCGGAGCAUGCGGAUUAUGAUUCGAUGCAACGCGAAGAACCUUACCAAGGCUUGACAUGGACAAAUCGAAAUAGGGUUUCCCUUCGGGGCUGGUUCACAGGUGGUGCAUGGUUGUCGUCAGCUCGGGGUGCGGUGAAUACGUUCCCGGGCCUUGUACACCUACCGCCCGUCAAGUCACGAAAGUCGGUAACACCCGAAGCCGUU
rnacentral:rRNA from 1 species